rnacentral:rRNA from 1 species
UACGUAGGGUGCGAGCGUUAAUCGGAAUUACUGGGCGUAAAGCGUGCGCAGGCGGUUCGUUGUGUCGGCGGUGAAAGCCCCGGGCUCAACCUGGGAAUGGCCGUUGAAACUGGCGAACUGGAGUGUGGCAGAGGGGGGUGGAAUUCCGCGUGUAGCAGUGAAAUGCGUAGAGAUGCGGAGGAACACCGAUGGCGAAGGCGGCCUUCUGGACCAAUACUGACGCUCAUGCACGAAAGCGUGGGGAGCAAACAGG